ensembl:lncRNA
GUGUCGGGUUGAAAAAUUGACACCAAAAUUUCAAAUGUUUCAGAAAACGUGUUUAAGCAAUAGCAGGUUUGAAAUGACACCAAGUUAAAAAAAAACGCGUGUGAGCAACAGCAGGUUUGAAAUAAAAAGUAGACGGCGAAGCUUCGGAAAAUCGUGAAUAUAGCGCUUCGCACUUUAUAAUCUUAAUAAAAGAUAUUCCAGCUAUGCCUACAAGUCAGUCUACAGCUGUCAGAACGAGUAACGUCCCAGUAGGCGAACGAAAAGGGGGAAGAGAGACGACGGGGAACAAACGAACGACAGGAGGCAGUGCUAGCCUACCAUUUCUCCACAAGCACUACACGGGAUCAGGACGGACAUGUCAGAGUUGGAGCGGUGCCGUUAUGUCCGAAGCAUAGGAGCGGGAGCAGCACCUACAACCGAGUGGAUUAAAAUAAGUAAAUGAAACUUAAGAAGAGCAUUAGUGUGAUCGCUUCGCAAUGCUGUGUAAUUGAGCAAUCGCACUAAUCAUCGGUGUGUAUUUAUUAUCAUCAGUGUGUAUUUAUUAUGUAAAUAAAUGAUAGAAAUAACUUGGCCUGCCUUGCCACACAAAAGCAGAACUCCAGUGUCGUGGCUGUGGAUGUGCAACACUGUGAAAUGCAACUAGCCUAUCUGUCAUAAUAUUCGACUUGAAAGCGCAGAUGAAGGGAUGGGAAGAAAAAUAACGAAACGGCGUUUAGUGAGGUGCUGUCACGUUGACUGAAAAAUCUGGUCACCUUACCUUAGACUCGUCCCUGGGUCCACACACACUCACACCAUAAAGGAAAGGAAAACCACAGAGGUAUUUUCUCUUUACUCUUUACUAAUGUGAGCACACAUUUUUAACUUCCAACCCCAGAACAUAUAACAUACGCAUUUUUUGUAUUAUUUGACUAGCUUGAACCCUGAAACUAGCCUUUAAGUUUACACCUGUAACACACAUUAUACCUGUUAGUAUUCAAAUGAAAUAUUAUUUUGUUGAUUUAAUUUUGAAGAUUAUUAUUAAUGUUGGCUCGUGUUUUAACAUUUAGAAGCUCAAUCGUGUGACAGCACCAGGAAAUGGGUUUUGUUUUACGCACAGUAUGUCCUGUACAAGGCCCUGUUUGUAAUUCGUCUUCUGCUGCCACCUUGUGCGGAAAAAUGCAAUUGCGAUCUGCAAAAAUAUCUAGUGUCAUCUUGGAUAACGCAUCCAGUACAGGGAUGUUUCACUCAGUGUCACCCCUGUGCUUGUUCUCGCCACCCCCAUUUUUAAUGUCUACGCUGGCCCAAAAAGCUCAACCCAAUGCAACUUAAUAAAACACGUGCAAAUAGCCUGAACAGAAGUAAAGUAAGGAAACAUUUUCAUCAACUUCACAGCACAUGCGCAGCACAACACAUCACAGAAACGCGCUACAAUUACACCAAACGAGAACCGAAGACACUUAAAAUAAAUGAAC